rnacentral:rRNA from 1 species
GUGGGGAAUAUUGCGCAAUGGGCGAAAGCCUGACGCAGCGACGCCGCGUGGGUGAUGAAGGCCUUCGGGUCGUAAAGCCCUGUCGGGAGGGACGAAACCUCGGCGACCUAACAUGUCGUCGACCUGACGGUACCUCCGAAGGAAGCACCGGCUAACUCCGUGCCAGCAGCCGCGGUAAUACGGAGGGUGCGAGCGUUGUUCGGAAUCACUGGGCGUAAAGCGCGUGUAGGCGGCCUUGUAAGUCUGGUGUGAAAGCCCGGGGCUUACCCCCGGAAGUGCACUGGAAACUGCAAGGCUUGAGUACCGGAGAGGAAGGUGGAAUUCCUGGUGUAGCGGUGAAAUGCGUAGAUAUCAGGAGGAACACCGGUGGCGAAGGCGGCCUUCUGGACGGAUACUGACGCUGAGACGCGAAAGCGUGGGGAGCAAACAGGAUUAGAUACCCUUGUAGUCC